ACACAUGCAAGUCGAACGAUGAAGAAAAGAAUUGAAGCUUCGGCAGAAAUUCAUUUCGGAUUAGUGGCAGACGGGUGAGUAACGCGUGAGCAACCUACCUCUUACAAAGGGAUAGCCUCGGGAAACCGGGAUUAAUACCAUAUAACAUUGCGACGAAGCAUUUCGAUGCAAUCAAAGCUACGGCGGUAAGAGAUGGGCUCGCGUCCCAUUAACCAGAUGGUGAGGUAACGGCUCACCAUAGUAACGAUGGGUAACCGGCCUGAGAGAGUGAACGGUCACACUGGAACUGAGACACGGUCCAGACUCCUACGGGAGGCAGCAGUGGGGAAUAUUGCACAAUGGAGGGAACUCUGAUGCAGCGACGCCGCGUGAGUGAUGAAGGAAUUCGUUUCGUAAAACUCUGUUCUAUGGGAAGAAAAGGACUGUACCAUAGGAGAAAGCUCCGGCUAAAUACGUGCCAGCAGCCGCGGUAAUACGUAUGGAGCGAGCGUUGUCCGGAAUUAUUGGGCGUAAAGGGUGCGCAGGCGGCUUUACAAGUUGGAUGUGAAAUAUUGUGGCUCAACCACAAACGUGCAUCCAAAACUGCAAAGCUUGAGUUAAGGAGAGGUAAGUGGAAUUCCUGGUGUAGCGGUGGAAUG
rnacentral:rRNA from 1 species